CUGGGCCUGCGCUGAUUCAUGUGGCAGUCCAGUGUCAUACUCUCGACCUGAAAAGGAUUUGCUCUCCUAUAUUUACCAAGGUGGUCAGCAAGCCCAGUGUUAAGGCCUCGCUCUGAGGCAGCGCCUUCUUUGGCAAUGACAUGGACAUUCCGGAUCUUAAAAGAAACACACUGUCUGUGUAGUGACGUACUUCUGCCGAGGUCAGAGUCCAGGCUCCAGCGCUCCCACCGCCGUAUGGCCACAGUUUGGUAUGCAGAUACAAAGACGCAGGAUCCGGCAGCCUACGUCCAUCUCAGAGGAGGACACGGAGUAAAUAGAAGACCAGAUGGGGACGUUAUACAACCACUCUGGCUGGGGAACCCCAGAGUCCUGCAGUUGGCUGGGGAAAGAGAAGACAACCAUGAACUGAAUUGUUGCCCAUGUGGCACCACAACAGUUGAGUGCUUUAAGAUUAAUUGUGAAAACACAUUGUUCUAAGUGUCUGAUGUAGUUUCACUGCUCUCUGGAAUUAACCUGAAGUUGUUUACUGUUUUAAAUUGUCACCUCCAUUUGUUUACAUUCUUGUGCAACUAAGUGCUGAAUAUUAAAACGGUUGCAUGAAGUCUUUUUGUUCACCGUUAGCCGCUCCAAAACGUCUAUAAAAAGUAAACUGUGUUUUCAUGCAGACGAAAGGAAAAUUAUUCAUUUUCACUGUAUUAAAAAAAGAUUAAUGCUUCAUUAUUUACUCCUCUGAGAUACAGAUCCUCUUGUCCAACAAUCGGGGGAAAUCAACAACUACUUCAAAGGACACAGCCCCAUGAGUGUCUGGUGAAAAAAAUAUUUCCGGCUCUGCAUCUCCAACUUUUGAGAUGAAAAGGCAACAUGUGAGUCAGAAUUACUGUCUUUGUUUUUUUUUUUCUUCUUCUCAUCAAGGUCCACUGCAUGCCAGUGAUGAUCUGAUGAAAACAUGGCAAGUCUAGUGUUGAGGCUACGUUGACUCAGAUCCCAAAAUCAAUCUGCGAU